rnacentral:rRNA from 1 species
AUUGAACGCUGGCGGCAUGCUUUACACAUGCAAGUCGAACGGCAGCGCGGGCUUCGGCCUGGCGGCGAGUGGCGAACGGGUGAGUAAUGCAUCGGAACGUGCCCAGUAGUGGGGGAUAGCCCGGCGAAAGCCGGAUUAAUACCGCAUACGACCUGAGGGUGAGAGCGGGGGGCCGAAAGGCCUCGCGCUAUUGGAGCGGCCGAUGUCGGAUUAGCUAGUUGGUGGGGUAAAGGCUUACCAAGGCGACGAUCCGUAGCUGGUCUGAGAGGACGACCAGCCACACUGGGACUGAGACACGGCCCAGACUCCUACGGGAGGCAGCAGUGGGGAAUUUUGGACAAUGGGGGCAACCCUGAUCCAGCCAUGCCGCGUGCGGGAAGAAGGCCUUCGGGUUGUAAACCGCUUUUGUUCGGGAAGAAAUCCUCUGGGCUAAUACCCCGGGGGGAUGACGGUACCGGAAGAAUAAGCACCGGCUAACUACGUG